UGUUCUGUGGCUCAGUUAGUUAAAGCGCCGGACUAGUGAUACAGAGUCGUGGAUUUGAAUCCCACCAAAACAA
rnacentral:tRNA from 1 species